AGGCAGAAAGGGAAUGAAGUUCUCCCCCGAUCUUUAUCGAAACCGCCACUGAGCUGAUGACUUCUGUGCAAUG
rnacentral:ncRNA from 2 species